rnacentral:tRNA from 1 species
GGGCGAAUGGUUUAGUGGUAUAAUACUCCCUUAGCACAAUUCAUCUGAAUAAUUUGGGAGUGGUCCAGGGUUCGAUUCCCUGUUCGUCCA